CUUAACAAGCAACUUCCUAUGACACAGUGAAGAGGAAAUUGGCUUGAGGAAAUGGAACCCAGAAGCAGUUGUGUGUGGAUGACUCCAUCCUGGGAAGCGCAGACCAGCUCUCCAGGAGAUUGCACUGUGGUGCUUAUGAAGUGGAUGUUAGACACCCGUGCUCCCAGUUGUUAGUUUCAUCGCACAGUGAACAUCAAGGUCCCAGAGGUGACAGGAACAGCAGCGUGAUUGCCAUGGACAAUGGCGUGAACCUCUUUCUGGUCUAGAAAUAUGGCAAUGGGAGUUAUUUGUGUUGGCUAGGCAGAGAGCUGCGUAUUUUCAGAUUCUUUCACUCAUUUGCAUCAUCCUAAAGCUUUGAAGUUACUUUGGUGGCCUCUUUCUCAUUUAUUUGGAAUGCAGCAAGGAUUUCUCUGCAGGCUUGUUGCGGACAGCCUCUCACUGAACUUUUCUGAGAACAGGCAUGCAAAUGGCGUGUUUCAUGUCUGGUUCAGCCAUUGAUUUGGGCAUGUGAUAUUUCCUGGAACAUUGUGUCCUGAAUAAAACAAAAGGCUCCAAAAUGCAAUCUCAGAAAUGGACUAUUUAAAUGUCCCUGAAUGAGGAAGCACAGUCCAAUUAUUUCUGUCUCCUGGAGUACACAGAAUGUACAAAUCUAUAGCUGGAGGGUUAGUGCUUGACUUGAAGAAAUGUUACAUUUUAGAAAAAUUCCUUUUGAGAAUAAAUAGAAAAUAUAAAGCAUGACAUCUGAAAAAUUGCUUGCUUAAAAUGGCC